rnacentral:ribozyme from 1 species
AAAAAAAAAAAAAAGAAAAAAAAAAAAAAAAAAAAAGAGAACGAUGACAAACUUU